rnacentral:lncRNA from 1 species
AUGGAUAUUUGGAUUACUUCCAACUCCUGGCCAUUGGAUAAUAAAUAUAUCAGGAAACCAGGCUUCCACAGUAAGAUGAGAAAUAGAGGCUUAGCAGCAGAUGAAGAAAAGAAGCUGUAUGAGGUCACCUUGGACAAUCUGUUGACUAAUGUUCCAGGUUUUAUUGUCCUGGACAGAGUUCCAUGGAGGCAUGAGUGGCAGCACCAUCUCCAAGUAUGGGGCCCUCACCAUUGA